UACUGGGCGUAAAGCGCGCGUAGGCGGUUUGUUAAGUCAGAUGUGAAAUCCCCGGGCUCAACCUGGGAAUGGCAUUUGAGACUGGCAGGCUAGAGUAUGGUAGAGGUGAGUGGAAUUUCAGGUGUAGCGGUGAAAUGCGUAGAGAUCUGAAGGAACAUCAGUGGCGAAGGCGACUCACUGGGCCAUUACUGACGCUGAGGUGCGAAAGCGUGGGUAGCAAACAGGAUUAGAUACCCUGGUAGUCCACGCCCUAAACGAUGUCAACUAGGUGUAUGGAGAAAAUAUUCUUUGUGUAUCGAAGCUAACGCGAUAAGUUGACCGCCUGGGGAGUACGGUCGCAAGACUAAAACUCAAAUGAAUUGACGGGGGCCCGCACAAGCGGUGGAGCAUGUGGUUUAAUUCGAUGCAACGCGAAGAACCUUACCUGGCCUUGACAUGUA
rnacentral:rRNA from 1 species